AGUGAACGCUGGCGGUAGGCCUAACACAUGCCAGUCGAACGGCAGCACAGUAAGAGCUUGCUCUUCCGGGUGGCGAGUGGCGGACGGGUGAGGAAUACAUCGGAAUCUACUUUUUCGUGGGGGUUCACGUAGGGAAACUUACGCUCAUAUCGCAUACGCCCUACGGGGGAAAGUAGGGGAUCUUCGGACCUUGCGCGGUUGAAUGAGCCGAUGUUGGGUUAGCUAGUUGGGGGGGUAAAGGCCCACCAAGGGGAGGAUCCGCAGCCGGAGUGGGAGGAUGGUCGGCCGCACUGGAACUUGGACACGGUCCAGAGUCCUACGGGAGGCAGCAGUGGGGAAUGUUGGACAGCGGGCGCAAGCCUGGUCCAGCCAUACCGCGUGGGUGAAAAAGGCCUUCGGGUUGUAAAGCCCUUUUGUUGGGAAAGAAAAGCAGCAGGUUAAUACCCCGCUGUUCUGACGGUACCCAAAAAAUAAGCACCGGCUAACUUCGUG
rnacentral:rRNA from 1 species